CACCACCGUGGCGCCGGAUUCGGCCAGCGACUGGCUGAUGCCCAGUCCAAUGCCGGCGGUGCUGCCGCUGACGAUGGCCA
rnacentral:tRNA from 1 species